UUGAAAUACCACCCUUUAAUGUUUGAUGUUCUAACGUGGACCCGUAAUCCGGGUUGCGGACAGUGUCUGGUGGGUAGUUUGACUGGGGCGGUCUCCUCCUAAAGAGUAACGGAGGAGCACGAAGGUUGGCUAAUCCUGGUCGGACAUCAGGAGGUUAGUGCAAUGGCAUAAGCCAGCUUGACUGCGAGCGUGACGGCGCGAGCAGGUGCGAAAGCAGGUCAUAGUGAUCCGGUGGUUCUGAAUGGAAGGGCCAUCGCUCAACGGAUAAAAGGUACUCCGGGGAUAACAGGCUGAUACCGCCCAAGAGUUCAUAUCGACGGCGGUGUUUGGCACCUCGAUGUCGGCUCAUCACAUCCUGGGGCUGAAGUAGGUCCCAAGGGUAUGGCUGUUCGCCAUUUAAAGUGGUACGCGAGCUGGGUUUAGAACGUCGUGAGACAGUUCGGUCCCUAUCUGCCGUGGGCGCUGGAGAACUGAGGGGGGCUGCUCCUAGUACGAGAGGACCGGAGUGGACGCAUCACUGGUGUUCGGGUUGUCAUGCCAAUGGCACUGCCCGGUAGCUAAAUGCGGAAGAGAUAAGUGCUGAAAGCAUCUAAGCACGAAACUUGCCCCGAGAUGAGUUCUCCCUGAGACUU
rnacentral:rRNA from 1 species